rnacentral:tRNA from 1 species
GGGAUCUUAGCUCAGCUGGGAGAGCAUCUGCCUUACAAGCAGAGGGUCAUAGGUUAGAGCCCUAUAGGUCCCA